CGUGUUGCAAUGCUUCCGCUUCAGCAUGUGUCAAUGGCCUGUGUCCACCUGGCUUCCAAGAUAGAAGAGGCCCCAAGACGCAUACGGGACGUCAUCAAUGUGUUUCACCGCCUUCGACAGCUGAGAGAGAAAAAGAAGCCCGUGCCUCUACUACUGGAUCAAGAUUAUGUUAAUUUAAAGAACCAAAUUAUAAAGGCGGAAAGACGAGUUCUCAAAGAGUUGGGUUUCUGCGUCCAUGUGAAGCAUCCUCAUAAGAUAAUCGUUAUGUACCUUCAGGUGUUAGAGUGUGAGCGUAACCAACACCUGGUCCAGACCUCAUGGGUAGCCUCUGAGGGUAAGUGACUAAGACUUCUCCUCUGCUGUCCAAGCGCUUUGGUGCAGGGACAGCGGCGUCUUCAGCCAAUCCAGUGCAGGCUCUCCACCGAAGGCUGGCUCUAGACUGGUGUUGGCAGCGGCUCUGGUGAGCCCGAGAAGAGGCCUGCCCUUGGGUGCGGAGUCUCCCUCCGCACGAUGCUCCCACGCGUCCAACUUGCACCCAAGGGGCUUUUCCCUCUUCCAAGUGGACUCCUUCAAGGAAGCUGCAGCUCGGUCAGCAGAGAAGGGGCCUGCCGCCAGCGCCCUGGAGGAAGAGGAAGAGGAACCCAAGAGGAUGGCUUGUCUCCCAGCAGCCACACCGGCUUUGUGCUCAGCCAGUUCAUUUGAGUUUGCAUGUUUCUCUGCACUAUGGAUUUUGAGCAUUUAGAUUUCUUUAAUCAAAAGCGUUUUAGUGACUCCAGUAGACAUUUUCUUUCUGAGGCAUCGUGCUUUGCAUGAGAGCAGGCCAAGGUUGAGGGGAAAAGUAAAGUU
rnacentral:sRNA from 1 species